AAUUUCUUUUUGAAAAACAAAAAUUAUGUUUGAAACUAUUUUUUAUAUAUUUUUAAAGUAUUUAUAUAUAUAUUUAUUAGAAUCCUAAAUUUCACAUUUCAAAAACCAUACCCCACCCCACAACUCUAAACCCUAAGUCUAGAUUAGUUAACCCUAAGGGUAUAAUCGUCUUUUACCCUUCAUUAAAAGUGAUAGUAAAAAUGGUUAGUGUAAACAUGAAAAGUCGUACUAUAAAUGUGUUAUUUGUGACAAUUUCCCAAUAUGUAUUGUACCAAUUUAUGGCAUUAACAUAAAUGACAGAUGAUUGAUUGAAAAAAUAUACUUCAUGUGAAUAUUUUUAUUUUCAGUGUGGUUAUUAUCAAAUGUAUGAUACAUGAAGAAGCAAAUACAAGUUUAACAUUGAAAGAUUCACUGUAAAUAAUCAAAACGUUUUUGGGUUGAAAAUUUUAAAUCACAAAUAGACAGCAUAAGAAACAUAAAAACAUAGAUAAUAAUAAAAAAAUCAGUUUUAAAGGAACAGAAACAAACACAUUGCAUUAUAAUUUCCAGUUUUAAUAAUUUAAAUGAAGCGGACGAUUUAAAAAUUACACUUAAUAUAGGUUAUUUAGUCAAAGAUUUAAUUCAUACAAUUAAUUCGAUUAAACAUAUAUCCAUGACCAAAACCUAAAAUACAAAUACAAUCGUAAGGAAAUUAAUAUCUAAGUUAAUAUUAAACUGAACAAAAUUUGUCAUAAAAAUCACAUAAUAUAGAGUUUUAGUUAAUGUUCAUUUUUUUAAUAAGAGAGAUAGCACUAAUAAUUUGAAACAAUAAAUUAAAUUACUACAUGCAUACUGUAAAAUUUUUGUGUUUGAAAAUAUUAUAUUUAAAUAUUAGUAAUAUGAUAACUUUUAAAAUUAUAUACCAGUAAUCAUGUAAAUCUGAUAUUUAUAUGUAUAAAAUUAAAAAUAAUCACUCCAUGAUUGUGCGGGUUUAAGAUCUAGUUUAAAUUAAUGUAUCUGUAAUGGAUUAUUAUUAAACUUGACAGCACUUUUUUUUUGUCGUCACUUCACAGUAAAUCAAUUAGCAUACUUUGCAAAUCUUUUUUAUAGUUUUACCUCAUUUCAGAAAUACUAUUUCAUCUGUCUAUAUUAUUAAAACAAAAGUACAAAAUAGAAAUGUCUCUUAAUUUUCUAAAUUAUUUAUAUUAUAACGCCACUGAGUAAUUAUUAAACAUAUAUUUAAGUAUGAUUUAUAUUUUCCUAAUUUAAUAAAUCAUUUACUAAAUUUCCUAACCUAAAACAACUAUUUAAUGGCAUUUUGGUCAACUAAAAAACUACAUAAUUCUAACAAUUAACAUUUUUUUAUCAAAUUAAAAAUAUUAAACAUACUUAAAUUUAAAAAGAAUCAUUUAUACAAUAUAUAAUAUAUAUAUAUAUAUAUUAAUAUAUAUAUUUUUUACGUAAAUUUUCAUAUAAAUAAUAACCCAAUGUAAAUUGAUAAAUGUUGAAAAAUAAAAAUAUAUAGCCCAAUAUUUUAAACAGUAUAUAAAAAAUUUAUCAUAAAUAAUCAUAAAUUUUGAUUCAUAAAAAUAAAAAUAUAUUUGUGUCAAUGCACGGAUUACAUUCUAAAAUGUAGAUGAUAUGAUGGUUUACAAGACAAAAUAAAAUUACUCAAUGUAAAUAAUAAAUUAAUGUGUUUUAAAAUAUUUUAUUAAUCAAUUAUUUUAUAUGGAUAAAUUAUAAAAAUAUAUAUUAUUAUUUAUAAAAUUAAAUAUUAUUUAUAAAAAAUAUAAAAAACAUCCGCACGAAUCAAUGUCUAGUUUAAUUUAUUUUUGAAGUAAUUUAAUUGAAGUUAAACCAUUUUACAAGCCAACUCCUCUCAUGCCCCUAUUUGUGGUGAGCCAAUCUCCUAUGGGCUUCUCAAAUUCCUUAUACACCUCUAUUGCUUUAAUGAAAUAUGAAUAUCCGAUUUUGCUCAUUUGCAUUUUCGAAAUGAUUAAUUUAAAUCAUAAAAAAUUUGAAAUUGAAAUUUUGAAAUUUUGAAAUUUUGAAAUUUUGAAAUUUUGAAAUUUUGAAAUUUUCAUAUUUUUAAAUUUUCAAAUUUUAAAAUUUUCAAAUUUUAAAAUUUUAAAAUUAUCAUAUUAUCAAAUUUUCAAAAUUUUCCAAAUUUCGGAUACUACAUUAUACUUUAUAGUUUUACUUUGUUGUAGCGGGUUAUACUUCGUUCUACUGGGUAAUAUUGAUGUUAAGUUAUAUUGAGUACUACUGAAUGUAGUUAUACCGAGUUAUAUUUAGUUAUACUGAAUACUGCCGAGUGUAAUUAUACCAGAUUAUAAUUAGUUAUACUAAGUACUACCGAGUGUAGUUAUACCGAGUUAUACCGAUUGUACUGAGUACUACUAAGUAUUACUAGUACUACUAAUAAGUUAGUUAUACCGAGUUCGACUAAGUGAGUUCGACUAAGUUCUACUUGUUAUACUGCAUAAUAGUAAGUACUACUGGGUUAGUUAUACCAAAUUUGACUGAAUUAGUAAUACCGAGUUAUACUGGAUCCAGAUCUGAAGAAAAUAAAUAAAAAACACGAAACAUACUUUGCAAAGGGAAAAAAGAACAAUAAAAUCCCAAAAUUAAAACUCAGAUCUAUAGAGAACAAGAAGAACCCUAAUCAUACAAAAUCCAGAAUCUUAAUUUACAACCCUAAAUCGAAAAAACCUCAGAAUCUCUCAUAAAAUCAGGUUGAGCCAUCGCCGUUCUUGAUAUCUUCUGCUCGGUAUCUAUGAAAAAGUGAAGGUUUUGUUCGGUAUCCAUGGAGGGACAAUAGGUUAUGAAAAAGAAGAAGGAAGAGAAGUGAUUUUCGCAUAGAAGAACAAGAAAAACGCAGAGAAAAGAAAGAGAAGGACCAAAAGAAAAAAGAGGAGAUAAGAAAAUGAAAAGAAAAACUGUCGGUGGCUUUAUAUUAUUAAAUUAGAUCAAUACUAUUAAAUUAGGAACAUGACCUAUUGAUAUAUGUGUAGUCCAACUAUCUAACUUUUUAUUUAAAAGCCCUCUUAUCAUUUUACUAUUAAUCUCCAUCUUAAUUCCAUGAUUCUAGGGACCCAUUUCUCUCAAUUAACUAACACGGUCGACAGUUUCAUUUUAAUUUCUGUUAUAAAUCCAUUGGUGGAUGUCCAUAACCGGCCCAAACCCUAGAAGAGAGAGACGGCCGACUUUGGAGAGAGAGAGAGAGGCGGCUACUAGAUUAGGAGAAAAGAAAACUUUAUUUCAUUUUCCUUAUAUUUGUAUCCUAAAUCUAGAUGUAUUAAGAUUUGUAUACUUUCCAUUUAUCUCUAUCUUGUAAUCCUUAUAUAAAGGAACCUCCAUUGAUCAUUAAUAAUACACAGAAACAUUCAGUUCUCAAACCUUCUAUUUACAACACGUUAUCAGCACGAUAGCCUCUAACACCUUGAGCUUAAAACCAAACCCCUAAAACGCUAAACGAAAGGAAUCUACCUCGGAACUUCAAAGAGGUCGUUCUCCCAAACCGUUAGGACCCAGAAAACGAUCAAGAUAUCAAAUCGAAGCUCUUGCCAAGACGAAUCAGUCAGUGCAACCGUUUGUCGAUCUGACCACCGACGCGCCGUCACGCACCGAUACAGUGCGUGCCAAUUUGCUUUAGAACCCUAAUCCGAACCCGACGAACCCUAAUCUGUUCUUACAAGUGUUCCAGCUCGUGUUCAUCCGAUCAGCCCCAGCCCUAAGGGGUUCUGAUACUAGACGAACUCAGCCUCAGCUCCAUCCGUUCUCAGCUUGCAUCCCGGACAGCUACAGCUUGCGUCCCGUCCAGCUCGAGGUUCUCUUGGUGGUCCGGUACUACAAUCUUCAAAACCUAAAGGUAAUUCGAAUUCUGAAAACAUGAAUCGAAUCUGGUUGUUUUGUAAAGAUUAAAACCCUAAAAUAUAAUCUCUAAAACUAAAGCAAUAGGAUAAUAGAUCAAUCCCCUAUGAGUAAAUCGAAGCUCUAUAGGUUCGAUCUAAACCCUAAAACGAGAUUGAUCCAUUGAUCAAAUAAAAUCAGAACUUUAAAGGUUUUGAAUCUCAAAUCAAAUCCCUUUGAUCAAAGAUCAAAGUUUUCGAAAUCCCUAAAACCCUAAUUCGAAAACUAUUAAAACUUAUUGAUUGAUUGAGAUUGAAAUUGAUCACCUUGAAAUCAAAAUUAUUUGAUUAAUAAAAUCGAAACCCUAAAACCCUAAAUUAAAAAUCGAUUUUGAUUAUUUGAAAUUGAAUGGUAUUUGAUUGAUUGAUCUCCUAGAACUAUGAUUAGGAUUGUUUAAACUUGAAUCUUGAAUAUGAAUUAAUUGGCUUGUUUAAAUCAAAACGCUAAUGAUCUGAUUGUUUAAAAUCGAAAUCUGAAACUAUAUCAUUAGGAUAAACUGUUCUAGACAUAAUCAUACUUGUGGCCGUGUGGCCUUGUUGCAUUCAUACCUAAACCUAAUCACAUUAAUUGAUUGCAAUUGCACUUAGAAUCUCAUGUUAGGAAGGUAUUGAAAUUGAAAUUGAAAUCAAGUAUGAUUGUUCUUUGCUUGGCCGAUUAGCUUGCUUGUGUUGAGUACAUUGUAUAAACUGAUAGAAUGCAUCUAUGCUAGGAUUGCAAUUACACAACAAACUAUAUGCAUUGAUCCUGAAUUGAAUCAUUAGCCGUGUGGCUUGUUUUCCUGUUUUGGCCGUGUGACUUCCUCAUGACAUGUGGCUUCUUCUUGGCCGUGAGGCAUAAACCUUAGUCAUAAGGUUUGCUUGCUUGAUUGAUUCUAUUGAUUGUGAGUUAAGUCAGCUAGAUUGAUUGCAUAUUGAAUCUGAAGCCCUAAAUCUCGAAUUUGAAUCCCUAAGGUCCUCGAAACCCUAAAUCGCAUGAUAUUGAUCCAAAUUGAGUUUAGGUUUGAUUCUUGUUAUUUUGACUGAUCUAAUUGAUAUCUUGAAAGCUAAGGUGCUAGAUUAUUUUGAUUCUUAUAAAAUCGGAAACCCUAGCCACAUUUUGUAUUGCUAAGAUGAUAAACCCUAAUUGGAUCAACAUAGAUUGUUUGGAUCAUGGCUUGGCCGCGUGGCCUUUAUUGCACCUUACUAUCAUAGCCGUCUGGCUUGCAUACAUCAUAUCACCUUGAUCAUAUAUAGAAUCCGAAAGCUAGGAUCGUAUGCAUCAUAUAUCUAUCUAGCCGUGUGGCCUCUUUGCUUGCAUCAUGACUGUAUGGUCAUGUGGCCUUGAUUGUAUUGCAUUAAACCCUAUAGCCGUGUGGCUUGUUUAUUAGGAAUGCAUUAACUCGAUUGUUUGCUUGGUAACACGAUUUAUUUUCUUAUAAAGAUUGAGUGAUAUAUGAUUACAGUUGUCAAAAAUCAGCAAUCUAGAUUAUGCUACCCUAAAUCUCUUUGGAGGUAAUUAUUUACAAUGGGCAUUAGACACAGAGAUUGUCCUGAAAUCAAAGGGCCUCUGUGAAUGUAUCAUCGAGGACAAUAAUGCAAGUGAAAGUAAUAGAAACAGGGAAAUAAUGAUUACUUGCCAACCCCAAGCCAAUGAGGCUGCAGAAGAAAAAAAAUCUAAAGAAAGCAACCACGUCCAUCAUGAUAAACCAUACGGCUGUAACCGUGAUGGAUGGAAAGGACGUGGGCAUAGCCAAACUACCUUAUACGACCAUUGACAUGGGAAUCACUAUAACCAUGGUUGUGGACCCAGUUUUGGCCAUGGUUAAGGGAGAGGAGGCCGUGGCAUUUCUAAGCCACCACACUCGACCAAGUCAGUGUGCCAUAAGAAAUGUAAUGGGGAAUCAUUAGGCUAAAACAUCUGAUUGACUAAAAGAAUAAUGUUGAUUUUGACUUCUGUGUUUGCUUUGCUUUAUGUUUGUGAUUUUCUUGAAUUAAGAACUUAUAUUAUAAGAUGAAUGAAUGAUUUUAGAUAUGACUCAGAAAAUGCCAAUAUAGAAGACAAUGUUGCGGGUAUAGUCAGUCAGAUAAGGGCCUGCGACCAGUAAAGAAUUGCCGAAAGGGCUACAGCUAGACUAAGUACAUUGGCGCCUAAAGAGGCUAGGAACAUUGGUGCCUAAAGAAAAAGCACACAGGCUUGAAAGAUCUAAUGCUCUAUAUCCACCCAUAGAAGCCCAUUGAGUUUAUAAGAUAUAUGAUAUAAGAAUGGUUUCCAUAUAGAAACAAUGGGCAAAGGAAACAAAGAGUGGUCAAAACUAUACAUGCAUUCUCUACUGAUCUAGACUAUGCAAAGAUCAGUAUGAUAAGAGGCAAAAGCCAUGGUAACCACAAUGGUUUACCCAUGAAAUUAUACACUUUAUGGCAUGACCGGAUUAGCCAUCCUACUCUAAACUUGAUGCAAAGAUUGAUAUUAAAAGGGCACACAGAGUUAUCCCAUAGUAUCUCACGUUGUGUAACAUGUACACAAGGGAAAAUCAUUAGGCGAUAAUGUCCCAAGCAUCUGCAGAUUAUAGUAUGAUCAUGAGGGGGAGUGAGGACAAAACCCGUGGUCCAUGACCAUACUAUAAACACAGAUAUAACAGCUUGAUAACAGCUUGGCCAUACAGGAUAUUACCUAUAAGGUUCAGACUCUAAAGUCUAUAAGCUUGGGAACAUCACGAGUUUUACAUGUAUAUAAAGUUAAGCUGCAUCAGGCCAUAUAAGUGAGCAUAGAUAUUCCCAUCUCAAAUUGAAUUCGGGUCAUGAGCCAGACAUAUACCAUCUUAAGAGACUUUGAAAUAACCACCACAGACAUAUAUGUGCCGUCUAAGAUGGAACCUCAGAAGAGGAUUGGGAAUAUAUGUUGGAUAAAAGUAUGACUUUCUCCCACGAGUUUUAAGAGACCUUGAGCCAAAUAUGGGUGAUCAGAUUGAGGCCAGGUACCCGGAUUGCAUGAGUCAAUAAAUCCGACUAUCCAACAUUAGAAGGAGAAAGUAAUAAGCUGGUAAAGAAUGAUAAAAAAGAAAAGAAUGACUAAGUCAUAACCAGCUUAGCACCAAACGAAAUCUGAUGUCCUAGAGACACAAUCAAGUUGCUACAGAGUCUAUACAAGAUAGACCAAAGUGUUCCAUAAGAUAAGGAACCUCGGAAAGAAAAUAUGCAUAGAAAGAUAAGACAAAUCCGAGGUCAUAAGGAAACCAGACCAGACAUUGAGAUAAGGCUGCGCAGCUGAACAUCUAAGGUACCAAACCAUUUAGCUUGGGACGCCAAGCUGCUAGGUAAUAAAGGUCCUGGAUAAUAAGAUCUCAAAUCGAUUAGAUCAUGUCUGGAACAAAAUGGAACCACACAUAUAUAUAUAUAUAUAUAUAUAUAUAUACAUAAGUGUUGACACAUAAAAGAUAUAUUUGUAUAAAGAUACAUAAGAAAGUAGGACUUGAGUUUAAAGAUAUAAGCGAGGAUCAUGAGCCCACGAAAGAGUACUUAUAAAGAUUAAAGAAAAGAUAAACGUGGGGUUUAAAGUAUCUAUAGAAGAGAUAGGCGUAUUGGCCAUAGAAACGCCAUCUGAUAUAAACCAGUGAAAUAGAUGGGUCUUGUGAGGGAAAAGAAACCGUGAGAUAUGAUACAUGAUCACGUGGUCUAAAGGUGUUCAUGUUUCCUACUAACAGCAUUAGAUCAUAGCUUGUUACACAAGGAUACUCACAGAGACCAUGGAACAGAUUAUAUGGAGAUAAACUCCUAUGUGGUGGGUGCUGCUGCAUAUUUUUGAAAUUGACAAAGGUCUGGUCAUAAGAAAGAAAUUAGAUUGACAUAUAAUGAUGUAGUAAGCAGCAUAUGGAUCACUGGAUAAAGAACAUCAUUGUUCCUAAGCUGUUCAU